CCCCCCUCUUCCUCCUCUAUUUCCACUCUCACGACUCUGCUGUUGCGGCAGAUUUUGCUCCAAUUCUUUCCCCAUUGCAAGAGCAUCGGGAACUGAGAACUCACUUUCUCUCUCUACGACCUCUUCACACUCUCUCUCUCUCUCUCAACAAGUUCAAAAACUGGGAAGAUUUAGAGACAAGUGUUCAUGGUGGACAAUUGGCCUCUCUGCAUUAAC
rnacentral:misc_RNA from 1 species